rnacentral:rRNA from 1 species
GAUGAACUGAGGGUAGCGGAGAAAUUCCAAUCGAACCUGGAGAUAGCUGGUUCUCUCCGAAAUAGCUUUAGGGCUAGCCUCAAGUGAUGAUUAUUGGAGGUAGAGCACUGUUUGGACGAGGGGCCCCUCUCGGGUUACCGAAUUCAGACAAACUCCGAAUGCCAAUUAAUUUAACUUGGGAGUCAGAACAUGGGUGAUAAGGUCCGUGUUCGAAAGGGAAACAGCCCAGACCACCAGCUAAGGUCCCAAAAUAUAUGUUAAGUGGAAAAGGAUGUGGCGUUGCCCAGACAACUAGGAUGUUGGCUUAGAAGCAGCCAUAAUUUAAAGAGUGCGUAAUAGCUCACUAGUCGAGUGACACUGCGCCGAAAAUGUACCGGGGAUAAACAUAUUACCGAAGCUGUGGAUUGUCCUUUGGACAAUGGUAGGAGAGCGUUCUAAGGGCGUUGAAGCAUGAUCGUAAGGACAUGUGGAG